UACGUAGGGUGCAAGCGUUGUCCGGAAUUACUGGGCGUAAAGAGCUCGUAGGCGGUCUGUCGCGUCGGCUGUGAAAACUCGGGGGCUCAACCCCGAGCCUGCAGUCGAUACGGGCAGACUAGAGUGCUGUAGGGGGAGACUGGAAUUCCUGGUGUAGCGGUGAAAUGCGCAGAUAUCAGGAGGAACACCGGUGGCGAAGGCGGGUCUCUGGGGCCGAUAUCGACGUGAGGAGCGAAAGCGUGGGGGAGCGAACAGG
rnacentral:rRNA from 1 species